CUCUUAUUAAGAGCGGCGGAGGGAUUAGGCCCUAUGAUGCCCGGCAACCUUUCAAGGGAACCUUGAAGCUGGUGCCAAUUCCUACAGACGUAACUGUCUGGAAGAUAAGAG
rnacentral:ncRNA from 2 species